rnacentral:tRNA from 1 species
GGGCUUGUGGUCUAGUGGCUAUGACUUUUCCUUGACGUGGAAAGGGUCGCAGGUUCGACUCCUGCCGAGCCCA